rnacentral:rRNA from 1 species
UAGAUACCCUGGUAGUCCACGCUGUAAACGAUGUCGAUUUAGAGGUUGUGGUCUUGAACCGUGGCUUCUGGAGCUAACGCGUUAAAUCGACCGCCUGGGGAGUACGGCCGCAAGGUUAAAACUCAAAUGAAUUGACGGGGGCCCGCACAAGCGGUGGAGCAUGUGGUUUAAUUCGAUGCAACGCGAAGAACCUUACCUACUCUUGACAUCCAGCGAAUCCUUUAGAGAUAGAGGAGUGCCUUCGGGAACG